GACGAACGCUGGCGGCGUGCUUAACACAUGCAAGUCGAACGAUGAACCCGGGGCUUGCUCCGGUGGAUUAGUGGCGAACGGGUGAGUAACACGUGAGUAACCUGCCCUUGACUCUGGGAUAACUGCGGGAAACUGUAGCUAAUACCGGAUACGACCCUCGGCGGCAUCGCCAGGGGGUGGAAAGAAUUUCGGUCAAGGAUGGACUCGCGGCCUAUCAGCUAGUUGGUGAGGUAACGGCUCACCAAGGCGACGGCGGGUAGCCGGCCUGAGAGGGUGACCGGCCACACUGGGACUGAGACACGGCCCAGACUCCUACGGGAGGCAGCAGUGGGGAAUAUUGCACAAUGGGCGCAAGCCUGAUGCAGCAACGCCGCGUGAGGGAUGACGGCCUUCGGGUUGUAAACCUCUUUUAGUAGGGAAGAAGCGAAAGUGACGGUACCUGCAGAAAAAGCACCGGCUAACUACGUGCCAGCCGCCGCAGUAA
rnacentral:rRNA from 1 species